rnacentral:rRNA from 1 species
ACCAAAAUUCUAGCCCCUCCUCCACCAAUGAGCCACUAAACCUUAACCAAUCAAUUAAAACAUUCUCUUGAUCUAGUAAAGGCGAUUAAAAAAUUAUUAGGAGCAAUAAAAAUAGUACCGCAAGGGAAAGAUGAAAUAAAAAUGAAACAACUAUUAAGCACAAAAUAGUAGAGAUAAACCCUCGUACCUUUUGCAUCAUGGUUUAACAAGUCUAACCAUGCACAAUGAAUUACAGUUUGACCCCCCGAAACUAAGUGAGCUACUUCAGGGCAGCUUAUUGAGCAAACCCGUCUCUGUUGCAAAAGAGUGGGAAGACCCUCAAGUAGCGGUGACAGACCUAACGAACUUAGUGAUAGCUGGUUACUCAAGAAAAGGAUUUAAGUCCCACCUAAAGCCCUUAUAAUACAACAAAAUGACACUUUGACUUUAGAGCAAUUCAAAUAAGGUACAGCCUAUUUGAAACAGGAUACAACCUACACUAAUGGGUAACUCCCUGACUCAGUAACUAAGUGGGCCUAAAAGCAGCCACCUUUAAAAUAGCGUCAAAGCUUUAUUACACCCUCUAUUUAAUAGCUAAAAUUAAUCAAAACCCUUUAUUUUUAUUGAGUAAUUCUAUACCUCUAUGGAACCUAUAAUGUUAAAACUAGUAACAAGAAGAAGACCUUCUCCUAAAUACAAGUGUAAAUCAGCAAGGACAACCCACUGAUAAUUAACACCUAUGAAACUAUAUCAGCAACCUCACAAGAAAACCCUGAUAUAACACAUGUUAAACUAACACAAGAGUAUUCCAAGAAAGAUUAAAAGGAAAAGAAGGAACUCGGCAAAUAUUAACCUCGCCUGUUUACCAAAAACAUCGCCUUUUGAAUUAUUAUAAAAGGUCCAGCCUGCCCAGUGACUUUGUUCAACGGCCGCGGUAUCCUAACCGUGCGAAGGUAGCGUAAUCACUUGUUCUUUAAAUGAGGACUUGUAUGAAUGGCACCACGAGGGUUAUACUGUCUCCUUUCCCCAAUCAGUGAAACUAAUCUCCCCGUGAAGAAGCGGGGAUAAAUAUAUAAGACGAGAAGACCCUAUGGAGCUUUAAACUAAUUAACAAAUGCUAAUUUCUUAGAAAUUUCAGAACACACACAUUUAUUUUGGCACCCUGAUUAUUAGUUUUAGGUUGGGGUGACCGCGGAGGCAUAAACUAACCUCCACAUUGAACAGGGCCUAUCCCUGAGCAAAAAACUACAACUUUAAGCACCAAUAAAUUGACAUCAAUUGACCCAAUAUUUUGAUCAACGAACCAAGGUUACCCUAGGGAUAACAGCGCAAUCCACUUCAAGAGCCCCUAUCGACAAGUGGGUUUACGACCUCGAUGUUGGAUCAGGGUAUCCCAGUGGUGCAGCCGCUACUAAAGGUUCGUUUGUUCAACGAUUAAAACCCU